UACGAAGGGGGCUAGCGUUGUUCGGAAUUACUGGGCGUAAAGCGUGCGCAGGCGGCUUCUCAAGUCAGGGGUGAAAGCCCAGAGCUCAACUCUGGAAUUGCCUUUGAGACUGAGUGGCUUAAGUACGAGAGAGGUGAGUGGAAUUCCCAGUGUAGAGGUGAAAUUCGUAGAUAUUGGGAAGAACACCGGUGGCGAAGGCGGCUCACUGGCUCGUAACUGACGCUCAUGCACGACAGCGUGGGGAUCAAACAGG
rnacentral:rRNA from 1 species